AACGUUCAGUCACUGAUGUGUCCUAGGCAUGAAAGGAAAAUUUUCUGGAAAUAUUAACCUCUAAGACAAUGUGUAUGUGACAUAACAGCAUCUGAGUUCUCCUUCAUUUUUCUUUAACCAGAUUAAACACGUGCUAUGAUGUCACAGUGAACAAUGACGAAAUAACAGAUCACAAGACCAUUUGAACUCGUCAGAUUAAUGGGAUAUUAAAAAAAAUGUGGGACCUAGAGCAGGGUAGAAUUCUACCAAGUUCAGAUAAAUAACAUUCAUUUAGCACUUACAAGAUUCAAAAUUUCUCAUUUCGGGAUGUUUACAUAGACAAUUCCGAAGAAGAGCCAGGCAAAGUCAAAAUAAAUAAAAGAAAACAAGAAGGUUUAAUUCCAGUAAAAUAGUUGCAUCUUCAUAUGCUCAGCUAAAAACACUAUAAUUCUGAAAACUUCUGCAAAUAAUUCUUGCAAACAGCUAGACACAACCUUCCUCAGGCUGCAUAAAAGCAACCAACAUCUCCUGAAAUUUCAAACAGGUAUUCAAACUUUUAAGGGCACAUUCUUCCUACUUAACCUUUUUUUUUCCUUUUGCUGGGGCAGCAUAAUAUGUUUGAUACGAAUUCACGCUUUUCUAAGUGAUAUUUAGUCCCCAUAUAUAGUUCAAUACACAUUUGAAGCCAAAGAAAUUUUCUUCGAGGAAAACCAAAACAUUGACCUGGCUCUGAAAAGAGGCUUUCACAUUUUGUCACAUCGCAUGUAUUUUGCAAGAAUGUAAUUUUUAUCAGAUGUGCACAAAAAAAUAUUUUUUGUCAUUCCAUAUACAAUCAUCAACCAAUGUCACUUUUUCAUGGCAGUGUAAAAGCAUAACUUCAAGACAUACAAAAGAAUGGAGCAUAGCGGCACUCCUCAUUCAUGGGAAUUACUCCUUCGAAUAGUUCUUUGGAUAUCCCUAGUCUCAUCAAUUAAUCAACACAAAUCACUCAGAUAUAUCACAGUAAACAAAUAGCUGGUUGAUCUUAAAAUUUUCUGAGAUACAGACUAGAACAUUAUGAGCUGAAUCUAUGACUGCAUUGCAUAGUUUGUUUUAUUCAAAAUUUUAGCAUAGGAUGGGAAUAAGACAUUUUAUCUUCAGGUUUGAAGAAAUAAUUUUCCAAGGAACACUAAUAGGGAACGAGCAAUGGAAUAUAAGAAAUAAACGAAGUCUCGAAAUAAUAAAAUAUUGAAUAAUUGUUAGAUGAUAUUAUCCGCACAACUUACUACACAAGGUUUGACAUAACAUGAGCAAAUAAACAAAAGGCAUUUUCUCCAAUUUCAUUCCUUUGUUGUUCUUGUUGCUGCUGCUGUAUCUUCAUCAAUAGUCAUCUAGGUCUAAAGCUGGACACAUAAGAUCAGUCAAAAGCCCACUAACAAUACGUUCCUGACAUGGCCAUUAUGAGUUCUUCAGGCUUCCUCAACAUUGUCGGUUGCACAAUUUACAUUCCCAAAUUUCUUCCAUAAAACUGAUAAGUUCUGAAAGUUAUUUCAGU
rnacentral:lncRNA from 1 species